rnacentral:lncRNA from 1 species
GUGGGGUGGAGUCGCAGCUCUAUCAAGAAAGCCGGAACUGCCUGAGUUAGCAGUGGCUCUGAAUAACGAAGCAGGUGUCUGCACCUCCCUGGAGCACAGCGUCCCAGCGCCGGCAGCAGAAGGCUGGAGUCUGUCCAGAGCUCCGAUGGACUUGGGGUGCUGCUGCCUGCAGGAUCGCGUCCUACAGAACUUUCUUUUCCAGCUCCAGGCUAGCCAGACUGUUUGGUUUCCCUGUGAGACUUCAAAGCUGGCUGUCCAUGCCCUCCCACAGCAGUAGAAGGUUUCAGCUGGGUGUUUCAUUUGUGCUUUUCCUAAAGCACUGGAACUCCUACAGGAUGAAAAGGCUUACAGUCAAGAAGUGA